AGGAUAAUGCCUUCUUCUAGCGUGUAACGGUAUGGUGCAUACACUGAUAUCUGCAUGAGUGGACCUCUAAACGGUAUGUACAGAAAACCGAUGGGUAGCUUUAUUUUAAGGACAUCUCUGAGUUCAGGUCUCGUUGUGAACAGUUCCCUGGAUACUUUCUAGGAGCACAUUUGAAAUCUCAUCCUAAAAGGUCAAAAGAACUUUAAAAAAAGUUCCAAAAGGUUAAAACUUUGAUUAUCAUUGCUCAAAAAGUGUUCAAGUUUUGUUUGAUCAAAGUGUACUGUUACAAAACCCUACUUUCCGGAUUUCACAAUCUAUGCUCGAUUCUAAAAAUGCGCACAACAAAAUAAUCUUUAAAAACGGAAUAAACUCCUCCCCAAAACGGAAUUAUCCUCAAAGUGAUAGUGGUCAAAAUGAUAUAUGAGCUGAACAAAAUUCUGCUUGAAGACCCAUAUUUUUUCGAUCGAUCAACAAGCCUGUUGCAAUCGUUAGAUGAGCCGAUCUCGCUCUACGACUUUGAAUAUAAAUACAUGCGGAAAUAUAAUACAAGUCACUCGCCUCUGAUUUACUGCAGAAGCAAUGCGUUAAAGGCCACUGUCCUAUCACAAAUUGACAAUGUUGCGGUGAAGUCCAUGGUUUCGGACCACCCAAUAUUGGGAAAAACCAUAGUAUUAUAUGUGAAAAUGAAAAAAUAAGAAGAAAAAUCCCCUACUAAGCAGGGGAAGUAAGGAACUAAAGAACACAAAGGUAAGACGGGAAGGAUUGUUCUAUCCCCCUGCAGAAUUCAGCAACAUGACUCGCACCACAAGCCACCAGUCGAUCUCUACGCAACUCCAGAGCCCCCCCUCAAUCUUCACGCAACUAAAUAGCCCCCACUUGAUUGAUAUAUCCGUGCCGGAGGCUUACAAACAAAUAUAAUAAAAUAAUGUUGAACACCAACGAACUCUGAAAUAAAAUAUAUGUUUGAU
rnacentral:sRNA from 15 species